UUGCUUAGUGACCGAGUUACAGGUGAUAGACUGUAGAUCUAUUCACGAGAUUAAUUUUUCCUAGCAAA
rnacentral:tRNA from 1 species